rnacentral:lncRNA from 1 species
GGACAGGCAGCCUGCUCUGUGUCGCCACGGGCCGGAUACGCCACAGGGUUGAUGGCAGAGACGGCCGAGUCCCUGGUCUAGAACAAGACACAUUCUUUAAACACUGUAUUACUUCUGCCUCCCUCUAGGUGACAGUGGCAGUCCGGGUGCCAUCACGGGUCCUGCAGAUGGCCAUGCAGGGCUCCUGCCCACGCAGGCCACCGUAUGUUCAGGACACGCACUGGGUCUCAGAGCCACUGGCCCAGGCAGAAGUCUCCUUGAGCCCACUGGGUCAUAUGCGUGUCACCACACGUGAACUAGUGUGGUGGCUGCCUGCGGACACCCUCCUGUUCUGAGCCCUGGGCCUGUGUUCUUCUCAGACACUCCCAGACUGAGGGGUGGUGUGUGGCGGGUGGCAGGGUGGCUGUGGAGACUGGGGAUCUGGAGCCUGGUGCUGGCACCUGGCCUGAGUUUCCGUGGGCAGCUGGCGGGGACCUGUGCUGCUGCUGCUGACUGUGGGUGGGCGGGCGGCGCCUGGGAGUGGCUCUUGCUCAGGAAUUGAUAGGAACCCUAAAAACUAGGAUACCCCCUCCUCGGCCCAUGAGGCACGCACAGUGACUUAUUUAAGACUUCCCCCUUAAUUUAUCUGCCCCCAGGAUGCGUCAGUCUGUUCAGUGGUCAGCAGGCCCCCCACCCCCCGCCGACUGCCCUCGCCAUCGUGGUCAGACCCCCCUCCCAACACAACACGCUGCUGGUCUGUGUCAGCCUUUGUAACGUGGGAGGCUCUGCCGUGUCUUCCGGGUGAACUGUAUUUGGAUUGCGCGCAUUGUCACGGUCCGCCCCUGGGCUGCAGGCGCCCCUUCCUCUGGGCACCCCUGCAUUCUGCAUCCCCACCUCUAGACGCUGUAAUAAACAGACUGUUUUCACUCGGA